rnacentral:rRNA from 1 species
AGUCGAGCGGUAACAUUUCUAGCUUGCUAGAAGAUGACGAGCGGCGGACGGGUGAGUAAUGCUUGGGAAUAUGCCUUAGGGUGGGGGACAACAGUUGGAAACGACUGCUAAUACCGCAUAACGUCUACGGACCAAAGGGGGCUUCGGCUCUCGCCCUUAGAUUAGCCCAAGUGGGAUUAGCUAGUUGGUGAGGUAAUGGCUCACCAAGGCGACGAUCCCUAGCUGGUUUGAGAGGAUGAUCAGCCACACUGGAACUGAGACACGGUCCAGACUCCUACGGGAGGCAGCAGUGGGGAAUAUUGCACAAUGGGCGCAAGCCUGAUGCAGCCAUGCCGCGUGUGUGAAGAAGGCCUUAGGGUUGUAAAGCACUUUCAGUAAGGAGGAAAGGUUAGUAGUUAAUACCUGCUAGCUGUGACGUUACUUACAGAAGAAGCACCGGCUAACUCCGUGCCAGCAGCCGCGGUAAUACGGAGGGUGCGAGCGUUAAUCGGAAUUACUGGGCGUAAAGCGUACGCAGGCGGUUUGUUAAGCGAGAUGUGAAAGCCCCGGGCUCAACCUGGGAACUGCAUUUCGAACUGGCAAACUAGAGUAUGAUAGAGGGUGGUAGAAUUUCAGGUGUAGCGGUGAAAUGCGUAGAGAUCUGAAGGAAUACCGAUGGCGAAGGCAGCCACCUGGGUCA